AAAGGGGGGCCACAGACUGUCAUACCCCACGCGGGUGGCAGCAGUAGGUGGCCGCAGAGACCAGGGGGAAGCGACUGUUUACUAAAAACACAGGUCCGUGCGAAGUCGUAAGACGAUGUAUACGGACUGACGCCUGCCCGGUGCUGGAACGUUAAGGGGACCGGUUAGUCCGCAAGGGCGAAGCUGAGAACUUAAGCGCCAGUAAACGGCGGUGGUAACUAUAACCAUCCUAAGGUAGCGAAAUUCCUUGUCGGGUAAGUUCCGACCUGCACGAAUGGCGUAACGACUUCCCUACUGUCUCAACCACAGCCCGGCGAAAUUGCACUACGAGUAAAGAUGCUCGUUACGCGCGGAAGGAUGAAAGACCCCGGGACCUUCACUAUAGCUUGACAUUGGUAUCCGAAUUUAAUUGUGUAGGAUAGGUGGGAGGCUUUGAUCCGCGGACGCCAGUCCGUCGGGGAGCCAACGUUGAAAUACCACUCUGUUGACUUUGGGUAUCUAACUUCGUACCGUGAUCCGGUUCAGGGACAGUGUCUGGUGGGUAGUUUAACUGGGGCGGUUGCCUCCUAAAAUGUAACGGAGGCGCCCAAAGGUUCCCUCAGCCUGGUUGGCAAUCAGGUGUUGAGUGCAAGUGCACAAGGGAGCUUGACUGUGAGACUGACAGGUCGAGCAGGGACGAAAGUCGGGACUAGUGAUCCGGCACCUGCGAGUGGAAGCGGUGUCGCUCAACGGAUAAAAGGUACCCCGGGGAUAACAGGCUGAUCUUCCCCAAGAGUCCAUAUCGACGGGAUGGUUUGGCACCUCGAUGUCGGCUCGUCGCAUCCUGGGGCUGGAGUAGGUCCCAAGGGUUGGGCUGUUCGCCCAUUAAAGCGGCACGCGAGCUGGGUUUAGAACGUCGUGAGACAGUUCGGUCCCUAUCCUCCGCGCGCGUAGGAGACUUGAGAAGAGCUAACCCUAGUACGAGAGGACCGGGACGGACGAACCUCUGGUGUGCCAGUUGUCAUGCCAAUGGCACGGCUGGUUAGCUACGUUCGGAAGGGAUAACCGCUGAAAGCAUCUAAGCGGGAAGCUCGCUUCAAGAUGAGGUCUCCCACCCCUUAGAGGGUUAAGGCCCCCAGCUAGACCACUGGGUUGAUAGGCCAGAAGUGUAAGCCUGGUAACAGGUUCAGCCGACUGGUACUAAUAGGCCGAGGACUUCACCAC
rnacentral:rRNA from 1 species